rnacentral:misc_RNA from 1 species
AUGAUUGCGAAUGGUUGCCUUCGGUGCUGGCUCUUGCAAGUGCACGUUGGUGGCUUUCAUCCAAUACCCCUGUGAACCUUUGGCCUCUUGCUAGCUUCGGCUGGCAGAGGAUUUUUACACACUCGAAUGUAAUGAAAACUAUUGUCGUGCGCAAGCACUAAUGUA